GAGUGUGUAGCCUAGCGGUAGCGUGCGCGCCUGUGUUGCAGGAGGGCGUGGGUUCGAUUCCCCCUUGCCGCA
rnacentral:tRNA from 1 species